rnacentral:rRNA from 1 species
GAUGAACGCUGGCGGCGUGCUUAACACAUGCAAGUCGAACGAAGCACUUCAUAAAGCUUGCUUUAAGAAGUGACUUAGUGGCGGACGGGUGAGUAACGCGUGGGUAACCUGCCUUACACAGGGGGAUAACAGUUAGAAAUGACUGCUAAUACCGCAUAAAACAGCAGAGUCGCAUGACUCAACUGUCAAAGAUUUAUCGGUGUAAGAUGGACCCGCGUCUGAUUAGCUUGUUGGUGGGGUAACGGCCUACCAAGGCGACGAUCAGUAGCCGGCCUGAGAGGGUGAACGGCCACAUUGGGACUGAGACACGGCCCAAAACUCCUACGGGAGGCAGCAGUGGGGAAUAUUGGACAAUGGGCGAAAGCCUGAUCCAGCGACGCCGCGUGAGCGAUGAAGUAUUUCGGUAUGUAAAGCUCUAUCAGCAGGGAAGAAAACGACGGUAACCUGACUAAGAAGCCCCGGCUAACUAACGUG